CGGGGUGCAGCAGGCGCGAAAACUUUACAAUGCCGGCAACGGCGAUAAGGGAACCUCGAGUGCCAGGUUACAAAUCUGGCUGUCGUGAUGCCUAAAAAGCAUUGCAUAGCAAGGGCCGGGCAAGACCGGUGCCAGCCGCCGCGGUAACACCGGCGGCUCGAGUGGUAACCGUUAUUAUUGGGUCUAAAGGGUCUGUAGCCGGCCGGAUAAGUCUCUUGGGAAAUCUGGCAGCUUAACUGUCAGGCUUUCAGGAGAUACUGUCUGGCUCGAGGCCGGGAGAGGUGAGAGGUACUUCAGGGGUAGGGGUGAAAUCUUGUAAUCCUUGAAGGACCACCAGUGGCGAAGGCGUCUCACCAGAACGGACCUGACGGCAAGGGACGAAAGCUAGGGGCACGAACCGGAUUAGAUACCCGGGUAGUCCUAGCCGUAAACGAUACUCGCUAGGUGUCGGCCACGGUGCGACCGUGGUCGGUGCCGUAGGGAAGCCGUGAAGCGAGCCACCUGGGAAGUACGGCCGCAAGGCUGAAACUUAAAGGAAUUGGCGGGGGAGC
rnacentral:rRNA from 1 species